rnacentral:rRNA from 1 species
AUUGAACGCUGGCGGCAUGCCUUACACAUGCAAGUCGAACGGCAGCACGGAGCUUGCUCUGGUGGCGAGUGGCGAACGGGUGAGUAAUAUAUCGGAACGUACCCAAGAGUGGGGGAUAACGUAGCGAAAGUUACGCUAAUACCGCAUACGAUCUAAGGAUGAAAGCAGGGGACCGCAAGGCCUUGUGCUCCUGGAGCGGCCGAUAUCUGAUUAGCUAGUUGGUGAGGUAAAGGCUCACCAAGGCAUCGAUCAGUAGCUGGUCUGAGAGGACGACCAGCCACACUGGAACUGAGACACGGUCCAGACUCCUACGGGAGGCAGCAGUGGGGAAUUUUGGACAAUGGGGGCAACCCUGAUCCAGCAAUGCCGCGUGAGUGAAGAAGGCCUUCGGGUUGUAAAGCUCUUUUGUCAGGGAAGAAACGGUGAAGGCUAGUAUCCUUUGCUAAUGACGGUACCUGAAGAAUAAGCACCGGCUAACUACGUGCCAGCAGCCGCCGUAA